AGUGAACGCUGGCGGUAGGCCUAACACAUGCAAGUCGAACGGCAGCACAGUAAGAGCCUGCUCUUACGGGUGGCGAGUGGCGGACGGGUGAGGAAUACAUCGGAAUCUACUUUUUCGUGGGGGAUAACGUAGGGAAACUUACGCUAAUACCGCAUACGACCUACGGGUGAAAGCAGGGGAUCUUCGGACCUUGCGCGAUUGAAUGAGCCGAUGUCGGAUUAGCUAGUUGGCGGGGUAAAGGCCCACCAAGGCGACGAUCCGUAGCUGGUCUGAGAGGAUGAUCAGCCACACUGGAACUGAGACACGGUCCAGACCCCUACGGGAGGCAGCAGUGGGGAAUAUUGGACAAUGGGCGCAAGCAUGAUCCAGCCAUACCGCGUGGGUGAAGAAGGCCUUCGGGUUGUAAAGCCCUUUUGUUGGGAAAGAAAAGCAGCAGGUUAAUACCCCGCUGUCCUGACGGUACCCAAAGAAUAAGCACCGGCUAACUUCGUG
rnacentral:rRNA from 1 species